rnacentral:rRNA from 1 species
UACGGAGGGUGCAAGCGUUGUCCGGAAUCACUGGGCGUAAAGGGCGCGUAGGCGGCUCAUGAAGGCUGUGGUGAAAGUCCGGGGCUCAACCUCGGAUCGGCCGUGGCGACUCGUGGGCUGGAGCACUGUAGAGGCGGGUGGAAUUCCGGGUGUAGCGGUGGAAUGCGUAGAGAUCCGGAAGAACACCAGUGGCGAAGGCGGCUUUCUGGUCUGUAACUGACGCUGAGGCGCGAAAGCGUGGGGAGCAAACAGG